AUGAAACACUGAGAGUCUUUCUCUCCUCUGCUGUCUUAUAGUUUCCUCCACCCACAGGAUAUGUGGCAGAACAGGUGAUGGUGACUCCAUCAUGUUUGUCUGACAGAGUGAUGGUCUCCUGGAUUUUAGUUGUGAGGGUUCGAUCUGUGUUCUCCUCUAUUGUGUUGUGAGGGUGUUGUGUGAGAUUCCAGGUGAGUUUAGGAGGGGAGUGUGGACAGGGAGUGGAAGCUGAGCAGGUUAUAGUGACAGACUCCUUCUCCCUCAGAUCACCUGAGAUCUCAAUUCUGGGCCUCGGAGGAGAAUC